CCUACGGGAGGCAGCAGUGGGGAAUCUUCCGCAAUGGGCGAAAGCCUGACGGAGCAACGCCGCGUGAUCGAAUGAAGGCCUUCGGGUUGUAAAGAUCUGUUGACAGAGACGAAUACUCAAUGCGAAUAGUUUUGUGAAUGAAGUUACCUGUUUAGAAAGCUCCGGCUAACUACGGGCAAGCAGCCGCGGUCAUACGUAGGGAGCAAGCGUUGUCCGGAAUGAGUGGUCGUAAAGGGGGCGUAGGUGGGUGCGUAAGUGAGGUGUGAAAACUCCGAGCUCAACGUGGAGACUGCACUUGAGACUGGUUGUCUAGAGGGCAGGAGAGGAAAGUGGAAUGCCUGGUGUAGCGGUGAAAUGCUUAGAGAUUA
rnacentral:rRNA from 1 species